rnacentral:tRNA from 1 species
GCCUGGGUGGCUCAGUUGGUUAAGUGUCUGACUUCGGCUCAGGUCAUGACAUUAUUCAUUCAUGAUAUUCACUGUUUGUGGGUUUGAGCCCCACAUUGGGCU